CCCCCCCCCCCCCACACACACACACACACACACACACACACACACACACACACACACACACACACACACACACACACACACACACACACACAUAGAUACACACACAGACACAUACGCAGACAUACAGUACACUCCCACACACACACAAAGGGUUUUGUUCAAAUUGAUUCAGAACCACGGAGAGGGCUGCUACAGCUAUAACAGUAGAGACACUGAUACAGCUCUGCUGAGUGCUGCUGCUGAUGGAAGGAUCCAGAUCCAGAUGUGACCGGAGGAGGGGCGCAAGGCGAGUUGGGCAAGGGUGUGUGGCGUCAUCACACAUGAAUGCGCACACGCACGCGCACACACAGCCUAGUGUGUUUAACACUCUCCUCUCUGUAUCUCUGUAGUUAUUUACUGUAGGCUUAUUUCUGAAUUAUGUAACACAUGCUCUGUCUGCGCACUAUAGCCCGUCACACACACAAGUACACACGCACGCGCACACACAAACGCACACUACCGCUCCGUAGCAAUCACAUCUGUAGCCAUGAAAUGCUUUGAAAGGCUGGUCAUGGCUCUCAUCAACACCAUCAUCCCAGAAACCCUGGACCCUCUCCAAUUCGCAUACCGCCCUAACAGAUCCACCGAUGAUGCAAUCUCUAUUGCACUCCACACUGCCCCUUUCCCACCGGGAGAAAAGGAACACCUAUGUGAGAAUGCGGUUCAUUGACUACAGCUCAGCGUUCAACACCAUAGUGCCCUCCAAGCUCAUUACUGAGCUAAGGACACUUGGACUGAACACCUCCUUCUGCAACUGGAUCCUGGACUUCCUGACGGCCCGCCCCAGGUGGUGAGGUGAGGCAACAACACACCGCCACGCUGACCAUCAACACGUGGGCCUCUCAGGGCUGCGAGCUCAGUCCCGUCCUGUACUCCCUGUUCACCCAUGACUGCGCGGCUACGCACGAUUCCAACACCACCAGACACCACAACGGUGGUAGGCCUGAUACCCACACACAUACUACACUAACACACACACACACUCACACUACAUAUGCUCACACACACAAAACACACACCCACAUGCAUAUUGACGCCACGCACACAAACACUCAAACAUUGACACACUUUCACACUGCACAUACGACUGCACAUACGCUGUUGCUACUCUGUUUGUUAUAUAUCCUGAUUUCCUAGUCGCUUUUACCCCUACACAAAUGUACAUACUGUAUUACCUCAAGUACCUCAACUACUUCGUACCCCUGCACAUUGACUCGGUACUGGUACUCCGUGUAUAUAGCCUCGUUAUUAUUUUUAUUGUGUUACUAUUUCCUUUUUUUGAGCAAACAUUUGUCUUACUUUUCAACUCUACAUUGUUGGGAGUGGGCUUGUAUGUAAGCAAUUCACUGUGAAGUUUACACCUGUUGUAUUCGGCACAUGUGACCAAUAGAAUUAGAUUAGAUUUGACACACACACACACACACACACACACACACACACACACACACACACACACACACACACACACACACACACACACACACACACACACACACACACACACACACACACACACACAGAGCUCUGUAGAAAUCUGUACAGAGUUCUGGUGGUCGACACCAGAACUACACUGGACUUUGUGCAAACUGGAAACCACGUAUCCUGAGGGCACAUUUAUUGUAGCUGGGGACUUAAUUAAAGGAAAUCUAAGGAAAACGCUCCAGAAAUUCUAUCAGCACAUGGCCUUUGCUACUCACUGCGAGAGCGUUCUUGGCCAUCGUUAUUCUCCUUUCAGGGACAGCUACAAGGCCCUCUACCCACCCUUCCUUCUGGAAAUCUGACCACGCCUCUAUCCUGCUCCUCCCCCUUAUUGGCAGAAACUUAAGCAGGAAGAACCCGUGGUAAGGACUGUUCAACAUUGGUCUGACCAAUCGGAAUCUAUGCUUCAAGAUUGUUUUGAUCAGGCGGACUGGGAUAUGUUCCAGGUCGCCUCUGGGAAUAAUAUCGAAGUAUACACUGACUAGGUGACUGGAUUCAUCAGCCCACUGGGUUCAUACUGGGUUCAUACUGUGAUGAUUAGAAACCGUGGAUUGAUGGCAGCAUUCGUGCAAAACUAAAAGCGAGGACCAUCGCAUUUAACCACGGCAAGGUGGCUGGGAACAUGAACAUGUACAACCAGACCAACUAUGACCUCCGUAAGACAAUCAAAGUGGAAAAACUUUAGCAUAAAGACAACGUGGAGUCACAAUUCAACGGCUCAGACAUGAGAUGCGUGUGGCAGGGACUACAGACAAUCAUGGAUUAUAAAGGGAAAGCCAGCUACAUUGUGGACACCGACACCUCGUUUCCGGACAAUCUAAAUACCUUUGCCUGCUUCAAAGAAAACAACAGUGGGCCACCGACGUGGGCCCCACCACUCACUAGGACUGUGUGCUCCCGAUCUCUGUGGCCGAUGUGAGUAAGACAUAUAAGCAUGUUAACCCUCGCUAGGCUACUGACCCAGACUGCAUCCCAAGCCGCGUCCUCAGAGCAUGCGCAGACCAGCUGGCUGGAGUGUUUACCUAUGUAUUCAAUCUCUCACUAACCCAGUCUGUUGUCCACACUUGCUUCAAAAUGUCCACUAUCGUUCCUGUACACAAGAAACUGAAGGUAACUGAACUAAAUUACUAUCGCCCCGUAGGAGCUUACUUCUGUAAUCAUAAUGUGCUUUGAGAGGCUAGUUAAGGACCAUUUCCCCUCCAUCUUACCUGACACCCUAGACCCACUACAAUAUGGAUUGUGCCCCAACAGAUCCAUGGAUUAUGCAAUCGCCAUUGCACUGCACACUGCCCUAUCCCACCUUUACAAGAGAAAUACCUAUGUAAGAAUGCUGUUCAGCCUUCAACACCAUAGUACCCUCCAAGCUCAUCAUUAAGCUCAGGGCCCAGGGUCUAAACCCCUCCCUGUGCAACUGGAUCCUGGACUUCCUGAAGGGCCGACCUCAAGUGGUGAAGGUAGGCAACAACACCUCGGCCACGCUGAUCCUCAAAAUGGGGGCCCCACAGGGGUGCAUACUCAGUCCCUGUUCACCCAUGACUGCGUGGCCAUGCAUGUCUCCAAUCAUCAAGUUUGCUGAUGACACAACAUUGUUAGGCCUGAUUAGCAACAAUUACGAGACAGCCUACAGGGAGGAGGUGAGUGCCUUGGCGGAAUGGUUCCAGGAAAAAAAACUCUCCCUCAACAACAACAAAAUUAUGAAGAUUAUCGUGAACUACAGCAGACGACACAGUGCACACCCCCAUCCACAUCAACGAGACGGCAGUGGAGAGGGUCAAAAGCUUCAAGUUCCUCUGCGUGCAAAUCACUGAUGACCUGAAAGUUCCCUUUACACAGACAGUAGGGUGAAGAAGGUGCAACAGUGCUUCUUUAACAUCAGGAGGUUGAAGAAAUUCGGCUUGGCACCUAAGACCCUCACCGACUUCUACAGAUGCACCAUUGAGAACAUCCUGUCGGGCUGUAUCACCGCCUGGUACAGCAAUUGCACCGUCUGCAACCGCAAGGCUUUCCAGAGGAUGGUGAAGUCAGUCCAACACAUCAUCGGGGGCCCACUGCCUGCCCUCCAGGACAUCUACAGUGUCAAAGGAAGGCCAAGAAGUUCAUGAAAGACCCCAGCCUGUUCACCUGCUACAAUCUAGACGGUGGAGAAAGUACAGGUGCAUCAAUGCUGGGACCGAGAGACUAAUAAACCGAUUCUAUCUCCAGACCAUCAGACUGUUAAACAGUCACCACUAGCCGGCCUCUGCCCUGAACAUCAGACACUGUCACCAGCCGGCUACCACCCGAACCUGAGCCCUAGGACCAUAUGUCAGGACUACCGGGCAUGACGACUCCCUGCUGCCCCCAGUCCGCCUGGCCUUGCUGCUAUUCCAGUUUCAACGGUUCUGCCUGCGUUACGGAACCCCUACCUGUCCCAGACCUGCUGUUUUCAACUCUUAAUGAUCGGCUAUGAAAAGCCAACAGAUUUAUUCCUGAUUAUUAUUUGACCAUGCUUGUCAUUUAUGAACAUUUUGAAAAUCUUGGCUCUCUCUAAUUUUCUCCUUCUCUCUUUCUUUCUCUCGGAGGACCUGAGCCCUGGGACCAUACGUCGGGACUGCCGGGCGUGGUGGCUCCUUGCUGUCCCCAGUCCGCAUCGCCUUGCUGCUGUUCCGGUUUCAGCUGUUCUGCCUGCGGUUAUGGAACCGCCACCUGUCCCAGACCUGUUGUUUUUCAACUCUUAAUGAUCGGCUAUGAAAAGCCAACUGAAUAUUAUUCAUGAUUAUUAUUUGACCAUGCUUGUCACUUAUGAACAUUUUUGAACAUCUUGGCAUAGUUCUGUUAUAAUCUCCACCUGGCACAGCCAGAAGAGGACUGGCCACCCCUCAUAGCCUGGUUCCUCUCUAGGUUUCUUCCUAGGUUUUGGCCUUUCUAGGGAGUUUUUCCUAGCCACCGUGCUUCUACACCUGCAUUCUAGCUGUUUGGGGUUUUAGGCUGGGUCUCUGUACAGCACUUCGAGAUAUUAGCUGAUGUACGAAGGGCUAUAUAAAAUAAACUUGAUUGAUUGAUUGAUUGACUCUUAGGAGCUCGCUGCACCCGCUGUAACAUCUACUUAACUGUGUACUUGACCAAUAAACGUUGAUUAGAUUUGUGCGGUGGUUGUCUCAGUCUACAGCUGUGUCUGUCUCUAGGUCAUCAUUGGUAGGCCUAAUGGUUCACAUAGGUCAUCUGGACAAAAUGGUCAAAUAAAGGCUGAAUGAAAUCAAA